rnacentral:rRNA from 1 species
AAUGAACGCUGGCGGCAGGCCUAACACAUGCAAGUCGAACGGAUCCUUCGGGAUUAGUGGCGGACGGGUGAGUAACGCGUGGGAACAUACCCUUUGGUACGGAAUAGCCUCGGGAAACUGGGAGUAAUACCGUAUGUGGUCGAGAGACGAAAGAUUUAUCGCCAAAGGAUUGGCCCGCGUUGGAUUAGGUAGUUGGUGGGGUAAUGGCCUACCAAGCCGACGAUCCAUAGCUGGUUUGAGAGGAUGAUCAGCCACCCUGGGACUGAGACACGGCCCACACUCCUACGGGAAGCAGCAGUGGGGAAUCUUAGACAAUGGGGGAAACCCUGAUCUAGCCAUGCCGCGUGAUCGAUGAAGGCCUUAGGGUUGUAAAGAGCUUUCAGGUGGGAAGAUAAUGACUGUACCACCAGAAGAAGCCCCGGCUAACUCCGUGCCAGCCGCCGCCGUAACAC